ensembl:lncRNA
CCCAGUUCCCCGCACGGUAUAUUCCCUUUGAGUCAGGAACCAAAGUGCUCUUUCAAGCAUUGGAGCUGGCACUGAAACAUGAGUGAGUGAGGUAUUGCUUCCCACCAGGAGAAGAAGAGCGUCAGAUGAAUCCUUGGGUUUUCUUGUGGUGGUGUCUGCUGGGGCCAGGGUCUUGCGUGGUCUUCAGGAAUCUGGUGGACAACGGGCCUCCCGAAUGGCGCAGUGGUCUAAGGCUCUGCAUCGCAGUGCUAGCUGUGACACUAGAGAUUCUGGUUUUGAGUCCAGGUUCUGUCGAAGUCUGCUGCGACCGGGAGACCCAUGGGGCGGCCCACAAUUGGCUCAUCGUCGUCCGGGUUAGCGACUCCUGUGGCAGGUCGAGCGCAGUGCAUGCUGACAUGGUCACCAGGUGUAUGGUGUUUCCUCUGACACAUUGGUGCGGCUGGCUUAAGGAUUAAGUGGGCAUUAUGUCAAGAAG